UCCCCGAAUGCAUCUAUAUUAUGAGUUUUGAUCAUGGCUCAGAGUGAACGCUGGCGGUAGUGCCUAACACAUGCAAGUCGAACGGCAGCACNGGAGAGCGUUGCUCUCUGGGUGGCGAGCUGGCUGGACGGGUGAGUGAAUACAUCGGAAUCUACUCGUGGUCGAUGGGGGAUAACGAUAGGGAAAACUUACGCUAAUACCGCUAUACGACCUUACGGUGUGAAAGACAGGGGACCUUCGGGACCUUGGCGCGAUUGAAUGAGCCGAUGUCGGAUUAAGGGCUGAGAUGUGAGGCGAGGGGUUGAAAAGGGGCGCC
rnacentral:rRNA from 1 species